rnacentral:rRNA from 1 species
UUUCUGCCGCCGGCGACCGGCGCACGGGUGAGUAACCCGUAUGCAACCUGGCCGUGACAGAUGGAUAACCGGGAGAAAUCCCGCCUAAUACAACAUAAUGCCGGGAGGGGACAUCCCCUGCCGGCCAAAGGGGGCGACCCCGGUCACGGAUGGGCAUGCGGCGCAUUAGGUAGUUGGUGGGGCAACGGCCCACCAAGCCGACGAUGCGUAGGGGUUCUGAGAGGAAGGUCCCCCACAUUGGAACUGAGACACGGUCCAAACUCCUACGGAAGGCAGCAG